GGGGAGGAGCCUGUGUGAGUGUGAGGCGACGCAAGGGGCUCUGAGCUUCUGCAAGAGCGGUGCCUGGCAACAAGCGCGCUGUUUCUGUGGCCCGGGGCGGGCGUAGUUGGAUCUAGCCGUACUGCAGAGGCAUCUGGGUCCCAGAUGGGCACAGAGGGUACCGAUGAGGAUGAUUUUCAAUUCUCACAGGAUAUCCCUAAACUCUAGGCAAAGUGCGUGUUGUUAGUCGUGACAUACACCAGACAGCGACUUCGUCUUACAAAUAGGAAAAUGGAAGCGUGGCGCUGUAAAUGGCGAACGACAUAUAAGUUGGACUGGGAAAGAGCGGCUUUCCCUCCUUCAGAAUCUGUGGAGAGAAGCUCAGAGGAGGAGUAGGGGAACUAUUGGCGAGGAGGUUAGGGUCUACCCUGUUCUUCUGACUCAAGCAACCCCGGCUUUUUGCUAAGGCAAACAUGGCUCUGAGAACAGUUGAAAAAACAAAGGCUAAGAAGGCGCAUUUCUCCUUAGAGCAGGACAACAGCCGUCUGUCUAUAGGGCAAUCCUGGGGCCAAACCAUUUAGGUUUCUGAGAAAGCCCCUGGUGAUGCUUGAAAUUAAGAGACGUCUCUGGAUUAGAAAAGUAAAGAAGUGACCUACGUGUGUCUGUUUCAAAAUGGUCUCCUUUAUCUUUCUCAGUAACCUUUGGGUUUGUCCUUGGAGUGAAGUUGAUGCUUGCAGAAUGGCAGGUGACAGGUGCAGGAAACUGCAGAGGGACAAGCCAACUGUGUCUAUCUUGUAGCUGUGGCCCAGCUUCAAAAUGGGUGCGAAUUCUUGGAUAGCAA
rnacentral:lncRNA from 1 species